CUGUAGCUGCUGACUGGUUAACAGUGACUCUUCUCAGGACAAGGGCUGAGGAACUCUGCUAGUUGAAUAGAGGAAUUCAUGAAUGUGAACCAGAUGCCACAUACAGCCAGAGUCAUUCUUGUGGCUCUUCUCUGAACCUUCUUCAGUUUAUCAACAUCUUCCUUGAAUUGUGGACACCAGAACUGGACAGAGUAUUCCAGCAAUUUUUGCACCGGUGCCACUUAUUAUAGGUAAAAUAACCUCCCUACUCCUACAGGAAAAUCCCCUAUUUAUGCAUUCCAGGAUUGUAUUAGCUCUUUUGGGCACAGUGUCACAUUGGGAGCUCAUGUUCAGAUGAUUAUCCACCACAACCCCAAAUCUCUUUCAGAUUAACUGCUUCCAAGGAUAGAGUCCCUCCUCCUACUUCAUCAGUGACACAAAACGAUCUCCUUUCCUCCAUCCUGCUAUAAGAGAUUUGUGGACAUACAAGUUCUUGAAUGCUUUUCUCAGUACAAGGGCUUCUUAACAGGAACACUUUGGAACAGAAUCCACAGUGUGUGUCCCUCCUUUUAAAAUUAUUUUUCAUUGUCUGCAGCAAAUGAUUUUGUUUUUUUAAAUGUCCUAGUUUUGGUCCUCACAUCAGCCAACAGUGCCGCUCAAUAUCUUUCCACAGAAACAAAUCCUGUAAGAAAACCAACAUGUUCUUAAAUCUAGUGAGGUUAGUAAUGUGUGAUGUAACUUCUGUAGGAAAUUUGAUAUUUUUUUGACUCCAUACUGUCAGCAGCAAAAAUGUUAGGUAAUUUACGCACAGCAGAACAAAGCGUGAAAACAUUUUCUCAAAUAAUGUUGAUUAUUGCAUGGUACAAUUGGUGUAAGUGGCGUUAUACAGCUUUGCAGUUUACAGAAGGCUAUUGUCUAUGUAUGCAAAUAUUGGGGAAAUUGUAUAUUAAAAUAGUAACUUCUAACCUUCUUAGUCCUGCAAGUUCAUGUAUUGCUAGUAUAUUACAUGUAUUGUGGUCAUGCUGUUUUAAUA